AGAGUUCUAAAUAAGUUUUUUACUGUGUUCGUCUUUUUGGUGGGGAAUAAAGAGUUGAGUAUUUAUACUGAGGUCAGUUGCUUUGGGAUAUAUGCACAUCUUUUAGUAUGUUGUCAGUGAAUACAUUUAUUAUGUUUUCAUCCUGGUUUUACCCCAUGAGUAUCCAGAUGAAAAAAAAAAAAAAGCUGAAUCUGUAAAGCAUACUUUGUGUUCUUCUAUGGAACAUUUCACUUGUAAAAUGUAUUUGUAUUAUAUUUAAUUCCCAUAAUUUUAAAAUUAGAAAUUUAGGUGACUUCUAAAGAUUGGUGAUGAUAUUUGUAUGCAACUAAUUUUUGACAUAAUCUUAACAGAGGGUUUCUGAGCAUCAUCUAACUGUGGGAGUUUCUCAUAUAUCUGGUGAGGCCUAUCAGAGAGAAAAGAGAGUAGAUGGAUAUGGAGAAGAUGUAGAAAUUGUAUUUCCUCACAAGAGUGGAUCAAGAAACUUGACAUUGGAUAAACCGAAAGAUACAGGAAAAGAAGUUUCAGCAUGGUCUCACAUUGGUAUGAAAAAAAAAAAAAAUAAAUAAAUAUAUAUAUUAGCUUCUAAUAUAGAAGUGUGUAUCUGAAUAAAUUACAUAAGGUAAAUUUCUUGAUGAGAAAU
rnacentral:lncRNA from 1 species